GAUGAACGCUGGCGGCGUGCCUAAUACAUGCAAGUCGAGCGAACAGACGAGGAGCUUGCUCCUCUGACGUUAGCGGCGGACGGGUGAGUAACACGUGGAUAACCUACCUAUAAGACUGGGAUAACUUCGGGAAACCGGAGCUAAUACCGGAUAAUAUAUUGAACCGCAUGGUUCAAUAGUGAAAGACGGUUUUGCUGUCGCUUAUAGAUGGAUCCGCGCCGCAUUAGCUAGUUGGUAAGGUAACGGCUUACCAAGGCAACGAUGCGUAGCCGACCUGAGAGGGUGAUCGGCCACACUGGAACUGAGACACGGUCCAGACUCUUACGGGAGGCCGCAGUAGGGAAUCUUCCGCAAUGGGCGAAAGCCUGACGGAGCAACGCCGCGUGAGUGAUGAAGGUCUUCGGAUCGUAAAACUCUGUUAUUAGGGAAGAACAAAUGUGUAAGUAACUAUGCACGUCUUGACGGUACCUAAUCAGAAAGCCACGGCUAACUACGUG
rnacentral:rRNA from 1 species